rnacentral:rRNA from 1 species
CCUACGGGGGGCAGCAGUGGGGAAUAUUGGACAAUGGGCGAAAGCCUGAUCCAGCCAUGCCGCGUGUGUGAAGAAGGCCUUCGGGUUGUAAAGCACUUUCAGUGGGGAAGAAAGCCUUGGGGCUAAUACCCUCGAGGAAGGACAUCACCCACAGAAGAAGCACCGGCUAACUCCGUGCCAGCAGCCGCGGUAAUACGGAGGGUACGAGCGUUAAUCGGAAUUACUGGGCGUAAAGCGCGCGUAGGCGGUCUGAUAAGCCGGUUGUGAAAGCCCCGGGCUCAACCUGGGAACGGCAUCCGGAACUGUCAGGCUAGAGUGCAGGAGAGGAAGGUAGAAUUCCCGGUGUAGCGGUGAAAUGCGUAGAGAUCGGGAGGAAUACCAGUGGCGAAGGCGGCCUUCUGGACUGACACUGACGCUGAGGUGCGAAAGCGUGGGUAGCAAACAGGAUUAGAUACCCUAGUAGUC